rnacentral:misc_RNA from 1 species
UAUAAAUAACUUUUUAUAAAUAAACAUUAACCAAAAUGGAUAAAUAAUCAUAAAUCUAUAAAAACAAAAGUUUUUAAAUAAAAAUAACACAAAAAUGUUUAGUGUUUAGCAUAUAAAAUGAAUAAAUACAAUAAUAAUGGUAAUUUCUCCAGAGCCCCUGUAGGGGACUCUUCAAUGCGUUUUAAUAAACGUCCACGUUAUGGAGUAAAUAAUAGUGGCGCUAAAAGUUCGCCUAGGUUCAAACGUCAAAAUCAAACUGGCUAUCAAUAUUCGCCAAAUAGAAAUGUUACAACAGAUCCUUUUCAGUGUAAUCCAUAUGAUAAAGGCCCCAGAAAUUUUUAUGGCAUUUCACCGAAACGACCAAAUUAUAAUCCACAAAAGAAUAACCAGUCAUCGUCACCUUAUUUACAUAAGCCUAACGCAUCAGCGAUUUCAUCUCCCUCCUCCUCCUCAUCAUUUUCUCUGAAUACCCAAAAUGUUUUAAAUUUACCACCAACUCAACCGCCACCUAUGUCCUCAACUUCAGUGGCGGCACAAAAUAGCCAACAGCAGCAGCUCACUCCCAAUAUGAUGGAUAAUUCUAAUUUAUAUGGAUUUGGUUAUAAUAGUUAUUAUCCCACCAGUUAUAAUAACGACAGAGUUUCGACAGAUACCACUUCAUCAUAUGGCGUGACUGAUGCUAUAACUCCAUUUAUGUGGCAAACAAUAACAUCUACACCACCGCCAAAAUUGCCACAACAUCAGCUGCAGCAACAGCCGCCACUGCCUCAACCACAGCCACCACCUAUACUACCUCCAUUGCCAAGUGAUGAUAAAUUGCCAUAUUUACCGCCACCACCAAUGUCCGCUUCCUCUAUGUCUCCUACAACAUCGUCACCAAGUUCAGCAAAAUUUAAUUUCAAAAAUAAUAUAUCAAGUGAUAAGAAAACUGCGGCUAAAACAAUUGUUAAAAUGAAAACAAAACGAAAAGCCAUUUCGGAACGAUAUCGCUUAAGUAAAUCCUGGUGCGAAGAAGAUGCCAUACUGGCCCUUAAGGCCGAAGAGUCAAAUGCCAGAAAACUACAGACAGAUAUAAUAUUAAUCAUUCGUUUUCCUGAUCCUGAACUAAGUCGUGAAAUUGUAAAAUGUUAUAGUCCUGAUAUAGAAUCUGUGCAUUUUCAAUUGAAUUAUGCGCCACGUUAUUGUUUGGUACAUCUGAAACCAGGAACAGAUGUGGAGAAAACUAUCGAUGAUCUAUCGAAGGUACCAUUUGGUACGGGAUUUUUAUCAGUGGAAAUUAAACAAAUUCCCUAUAAAGUUCAUAGUACUAAAUUGAAUGAAGUUGAUCCUUAUACUUUGUACGUGGGCAAUUUGCCAACAACUAUAGCAUGUAAAACCCUAAAGAAUCAUUUUCCUGGUGCUGCACGUAUUGAUAUUGGUUUUGCACAACGUAUGAAAUAUACUCGUUAUGCAUUUAUACGCUAUCAAAGUGUAGAGAAGGCCAUUGAUGCCUACAAUCGUAUGUUGGAUGCUGAAAUAGGUGGUCGUACAAUAACUAUACGUUUUAGACGUGUUACAGCUACAACUGAGGGCAAUAAAGAUGGAGAUGCUGAACAUCUCGAUAGUAUGCAUGAUGAUGAACUAAUAAAUCACACAACACUAGAAUCAGAUGAAAAAACUGUUGGAGAAAAUACCGAAUCAUUUGAUGUUUUACAGGCAAAUAAUACUGCAGAUGUUGAGGAACAUAACUCAAAUGAUGGCGUUGAAAAAGUUUCACAUGAUUUGGAUAUAAGUACUGAUAAUAAUUCAACGGAAGCCGCUUCCACUGCUGAAAAAAAUUCAGAAGCAGAAGAUAAUGUUUUUAUACCUCUAACGUCGUCCACUUCAAUUACAAGCACAAUUGAGAGUUUACACAAUAAAACAAAGUUAUGUUUUUCAACUGGAGACAAUUCAGCAUUGGAAACCAAUAACACUGAACCUCCUACAAUCAGCACAAGUCAAGCAAACAAUAGCAACUCAAUAGUCCCUAAUAUAAAACCAGAACCUGAUAUUGAUCCGUCUGAUAUAGUUAUACGCGAUAAUGCUCUAACUUCUCGCUUGGAUGGAAACAAUGAUAAUAUAAAACAGGAGGAACAAAUAGCAUUAUAUGAUGAAUUUUUUGCACCUCCCAAUAAUCAAAAUGAUAAUAAUAAGGAAAAUUCAGGAAAGUCAAAUAAUAAUGAUGUAGUUUCUUUACAUUCAACAGCUGAUGAAACAGAUACCAUGUCUACGGUAUCGACAAAUAGUUUAGGAGAGUUUUUACAAAAUUGUCAGAGAUCUCAGAUGCGUGCCAAUUGUAUGGAAAAUUUAGGACCGCCACCAGCUAAAAGAAAUAAACAACCUGAAGACGUUUUGACAGCCACAGUUAAACAAGAAUCACCAGAAAGUAACAAUAUUGUAACUGCGAAAGAUUUAACACAAUUUACUAAAGAUACGAUUGCUGCGGCUAACGUUAAACAGGAGCUUUUGGAAGAACCAAAUGUUAGUGAUAAAACUACUUCUACUACAGACUCUGCAAAUAAAAAAGUUCCUAAAAGAAGAGAUAGAGUACAAGCAGCAAUAAAUCCUGUCAUUACUAAAAACUCCACAAUAUCUGCUAGUACUGACGAUGUAGUACCCUCAACGGCAUUGUUUUUUAGAAGUAAUAGUCAAACUAGUUUAACAGUACCUAGCAAUGACAGUGAUUAUGAUGAGUUCUAUGAUACUCGCACAAAUAUAUCAUCCCAGACAACUACUAGUGUUGCAAAUAUUAAAAAAGAACCCCUUAACAUAUCAGCAAACAAAAGCACAAAUGAAAAUUGUAGACCUAAAGAAGAAAAUGGAGAAGUACUUAAUAGAAGAGAUGUAAAUAAAGAAAGUAAACUAAGUCAAAUGAGAAAUAAUAUAAGUUCCCUUACAACAUCAAAUACUCCUAUUGAUGAAGAUGAUUUAGUACCGGCACAAAAUAUUUUGGGCUCCUAUCGGCCUUUUCGCAGUGAAAUUAAAGAAGAAAUGGAACAUGAUGAUAUAUUUGCGGUACCCAUUAACAGAGCAAAUAAUUUAAGCGAAAAUAAUUAUUUGGACAAUCUUAACAAUGAAACAGUUUCGAAUUUGACGUCUCUGUCAGAUAGAAGUUCAGCAACAAGAAAUGAUAUUGGGAAAAGAAGUACGGAAUUUAAGGAAAAUGAUGAUGAUGUCAUCAUCGUAUCCGAAAACAUAACGCCUCAAGCCAAGCAAACAAAUUCAAAUUCAUCACUAUUAAAUAACAUCAUUUUCCGCCGUCAUACGGAUUUAGUAACAUUUACAUCGAAACCUAUUGUCGCCGUAACAAUUCCUAAACGUGAAGUUUCUACGCUAAUACAUCAUGAUAAUCUCGAUAGAUUGUAUGAACAAUUAGAUGCCGACUCAGACAACGAGUUAUGAUACUUCAUAUGGCGAAAAAAACAACAAACACUCUUUUAGUAACAAGGUGUUUAUUAUACAUACUGAAAUUGUGUAAAUAGGUUGUAAAUAGGGAAACGUACGGAUAUAAUUCCCUAAAAAAGAAAAGGAACAAAAAAAGAACACAGAUUCUAUGUUUUUAAAUUUUAUAAAUGCAAAAGAACAAUUUAUAUAGUUUCACUUGAGUUGAGUCUAUUCAGUCUUGUUGUAUGUUUGUUGGAAUCAAGUCGAAUUAAUCUGUCACAUAUAUGUACAUAAGAAAGUUUUGUUAUUGGAAAUCUGUAAGUUUUGGUGCAAAAAUGGCUGCCACAAGAUUUAAAAUAAUAACUACUUCGAUUUAUUGAUUUAUUUAGUUCUAGAACUACUGCAAACGUAAACUCUUCAGAUUCUUAAACCGCAAUCUAGUUUGGUGAUGCCGCCAUUACUUUUGGAAACCGUUCAGUUACCUAUUAAUAAGUCUAUAGAUGAGACUAUAGACUAUACUCUAGACUAAGCUAUAGACUAAACUAUAGACUAGACUAUAGACUAG